rnacentral:rRNA from 1 species
CAGUAGCCACGGUAAUACGGAGGGUGCAAGCGUUAAUCGGAAUUACUGGGCGUAAAGCGUGCGUAGGCGGUUCGUUAAGUCUGUUGUGAAAGCCCCGGGCUCAACCUGGGAAUGGCAAUGGAUACUGGCGAGCUAGAGUGUGUCAGAGGAUGGUGGAAUUCCCGGUGUAGCGGUGAAAUGCGUAGAGAUCGGGAGGAACAUCAGUGGCGAAGGCGGCCAUCUGGGACAACACUGACGCUGAGGCACGAAAACGUGGGGAGCAAACAGGAUUAGAUACCCCGGUAGUCCCUGUCUCUUAUAC